rnacentral:rRNA from 1 species
UACGGAGGGUGCAAGCGUUAAUCGGAGUUACUGGGCGUAAAGCGUGCGUAGGUGGUUCGUUAAGUCCGUUGUGAAAGCCCCGAGCUCAACUUGGGAAUUGCAGUGGAUACUGGCGAGCUGGAGUGCGGUAGAGGAAGGUGGAAUUCCCGGUGUAGCGGUGAAAUGCGUAGAGAUCGGGAGGAACACCAGUGGCGAAGGCGGCCUUCUGGACCAGCACUGACACUCAAGCACGAAAGCGUGGGGAGCAAACAGG